UUGAAAUUGAUUUUGGAAAAAAGUGGUGAAAAUUUAGAUUCUAGGUGUAUUUUUGAGAGGAAAAUCAGAAACCGGGGGUCAAAACGUAAUUUAAGAAAGUUGUGCCAUGUUAGCAGCCCAGUCAGCAGUCCCGACCAAUCAGAACACGCCGCAUGGCAAGGAAGCUGACGCGGGAGGCCACGCGGGACGGAGCCACGUGAGUGUCCGCGUGC
rnacentral:lncRNA from 1 species